AGAUUGAACGCUGGCGGCAUGCUUUACACAUGCAAGUCGAGCGGCAGCGCGAGGGCAACCUUGGCGGCGAGCGGCGAACGGGUGAGUAAUACAUCGGAACGUAUCCCGUAGAGGGGGAUAGCCCGGCGAAAGCCGGAUUAAUACCGCAUAUGCUCUACGGAGGAAAGUGGGGGACUUCGCAAGGAGCCUCACGCUAUGGGAGCGGCCGAUGGCCGAUUAGCUAGUUGGUGGGGUAAAGGCCUACCAAGGCGACGAUCGGUAGCUGGUCUGAGAGGAUGAUCAGCCACACUGGGACUGAGACACGGCCCAGACUCCUACGGGAGGCAGCAGUGGGGAAUUUUGGACAAUGGGGGCAACCCUGAUCCAGCCAUGCCGCGUGCGGGAAGAAGGCCUUCGGUUGUAACCCUUCAGCAGGGACGAAGCGAAGUGACGGUACCUGCAGAAGAAGCGCCGGCUAACUACGCGCCAGCAGCCGCGGU
rnacentral:rRNA from 1 species